GGGGUUGUGGCUCAGAGGUAGAGUGCUUGCCUAGCAAGCAUGAGGUCCUGGGUUCAAUGCUCAGCACCA
rfam:Ictidomys tridecemlineatus contig099234, whole genome shotgun sequence.